rnacentral:rRNA from 1 species
UACGUAGGGUGCAAGCGUUGUCCGGAAUUAUUGGGCGUAAAGAGCUCGUAGGCGGUCUGUCGCGUCUGACGUGAAAACCCAGGGCUCAACCCUGGGCCGGCGUUCGAUACGGGCAGACUAGAGUUCGGUAGGGGAGACUGGAAUUCCUGGUGUAGCGGUGAAAUGCGCAGAUAUCAGGAGGAACACCGGUGGCGAAGGCGGGUCUCUGGGCCGAAACUGACGCUGAGGAGCGAAAGCGUGGGGAGCAAACAGG